CGAUGCAACGCGAAAAACCUUACCUACCUUUGACAUGUACGGAACUCGCCAGAGAUGGCUUGGUGCUCGAAAGAGAACCGUAACACAGGUGCUGCAUGGCUGUCGUCAGCUCGUGUCGUGAGAUGUUGGGUUAAGUCCCGCAACGAGCGCAACCCUUGUCAUUAGUUGCUACAUUUGGUUGGGCACUCUAAUGAGACUGCCGGUGACAAACCGGAGGAAGGUGGGGAUGACGUCAAGUCCUCAUGGCCCUUAUAGGUAGGGCUACACACGUCAUACAAUGGAUGGUACAGAGGGUCGCCAACCCGCGAGGGGGAGCUAAUCCCAUAAAACCAUUCGUAGUCCGGAUCGCAGUCUGCAACUCGACUGCGUGAAGUCGGAAUCGCUAGUAAUCGCGGAUCAGAAUGUCGCGGUGAAUACGUUCCCGGGUCUUGUACACACCGCCCGUCACACCAUGGGAGCGGGUUCUGCCAGAAGUAGUUAGCCUACCGCAAGGAGGGCGAUACCACGCGGUCUGCUG
rnacentral:rRNA from 1 species